CACAGAUCAUUUAGUUUGGCUACUCAGACAUAAGCAAUCCUCCAACAAGUGACGCUUUGUUCACACUCGGUUUAGUCACGUGUGAUGUUCACCGCACAAUGCAGCCAAGACGGCUCACUGAAAUGUAAACUUCUGUUCGCCGAGUGCAGAAGGUCGAAACACCAGCCUGGGAGCUGCAGAAUAACAGGUCUCGGCUCUGUAAGAGUCACCGCACUGCGUGCAGUUCACAUUGUGCAACUCCAAAGCCGUGUCGCCAAAGACUGACCUGCCUUGGCACCCAAAACUCUACUGGUGGAAAUAAGUUGGCAUAGGAGUUGCAAGAGCAGCCGUGAGGCUGGGAAGAUUCCCCUUCCCCACUGGGCCCAGUUAUUCAGGCUGAGAGCCACGAACAGGAUUUGGCCUCUACAUGGUCUGAACAAAACAAAUUGGAAUCACUGCUCCAGAGGAGCUGUCUAGCUGUAGAGGACCAGCCCUCCGCUACCUGGAAGACAAAUGACGGCAGACACAGGAACACUAGAAUGCCCAUUACCAGGAAGAAGAGAAGGGUCAGAAACUUGAUUUUCUUCUGAAAAAUAAACCAACA